GCAGCUGCAGCAUACAUUAAUUUCCAAUAAUUUAUAGCUAAAUAAAUAUAUAUUAAUUAGAUGUGUACCAAAUCAAUAUUUUACAAGUGUUUAUCAAAAAAUAAGAAAUGAAAAAAUAAUUUUCAACACGUACAUUCCAGAUUUUCAGUUAUCACACAACAUAAACAAGAUUACUGGGACAGCUAGCUAGUACAAUCAUUGAAUUGAACCAAGUGCUUCCUUCCUUCCAUUAGCAAGAUUACCCUUUGAGUUUGACUUUUAAACCAAGCUAUGCCUCUUGGACUUGUGUAAUCUAGCUGCAAAAACAUACUACUUCAUUCAUCAAGAUCAUACGUUUGAAGGAGCGGAUGAAAUAGGUAUUGUUUCUACUUGUUCAACUGUCUUUGUAGUUUUCUUCCUUCUGCACCACCAACAACAAAGAGCUAUUGCUUCCAUCACAAAUAUCAAACAUCCAACUGAAGCUCCAACUAGUAAAAAAAGCAUCCAGGGCAGUUCAUUGUCAUCAUUUGUUGUGUUACGAAGCUUAAAUACGCCAACUGUGAAGAUUACCCAACUCGCAAUCUCAAGUAUGAAACCUGCUACCAUCAAAACAACAAAAAGAAUCAUUUUAUUGCUCAUCUUUGAUGAUGUUUCUCCUCUUUUCUCAAUAUAUAUACUCCCUAAGAUCGAGUUUCCUCGCAAGUCUUUGAUCUUUUGUUGAACAAUAUAGCUAGAAAUGAAAACAAAAGCAAAAGCAAAGAUACAAC
rnacentral:lncRNA from 1 species